ensembl:lncRNA
CACAAUUCUUGUACAGUUCAUCUAUAAAGUCAGUCGUAUCCCUACCGAUUAGGCAUGUGGUAGUAACCAUCUCGACAUCAGCUGUUUGUUAGACUACACAGGAUGAGUGACAGCAUGGCAUGAAGAUUCUUUGUGAUGCCCAUAUGUUGAUGCAGUUAUAAUAUUGCAGAACUUACCAGGUAGAUCAUCGGUGAUUGUAGCACGCAGUGGAGUAGAAGGUGGUGGAGAGCAGCUAGAGUCGACCUAACGGAGGAGGUAGCACGCAGUGGAGUAGAAGGUGGUGGAGAGCAGCUAGAGUCGACCUAACGGAGGAGGUAGCACGCAGUGGAGUAGAAGGUGGUGGAGAGCAGCUAGAGUCGACCUAACGGAGGAGGUAGCACGCAGUGGAGUAGAAGGUGGUGGAGUUGACGUAGGUGAGGAGGUUCCAGAUGAGCCUCCGAGCAGCGUCUCUUCCGGGUCCAUUGUAGUAUCUAUAAGAUGGUACAGCACAAAUAAUAAUAAAACGUUAUUUAUAGAGCACCUUUCAUGCAAAAGAAUGCAGCUCAAAGUGCUUUACAGCAAAUACGUGCGUAAUAACGUGCACAAAGAAAUUACCUGCACAUAAAAAUGGACAAAGAAACAUAAAAACUCAACUAUAGUGCAAAAACAAAUGUAGAAAGUACAGUUCAUG